rnacentral:misc_RNA from 1 species
UUAAGUUCAGCGGGUAGUCUUACCUGAUUUGAGGUCAAAAAUGUCAAGAGUUGUCCAGAGAAGGACGGUUUGAAGCAGGUCUUAUGAUAAGCCAACCCAAUCCAUGGAGUAGAUAAUUAUCACACCAAUAGAUUAGGGGCCUAACCCACUAAUACAUUUCAGAGGAGCAGACCACUGUUGUGGACCUGCAAAAACCCUCC